rnacentral:lncRNA from 1 species
AAGAGUUGAAAAUAGCAUUCGAACGCUUGGGCACUUCUGCCGAUAUCAGAGGAAGGGUCAGGACUUGGUCUUCAGGCAGAACUAUGUCUGGGAAUCUUAGCUCUGGAAAAUAGACUUGCAGCCAGAUCUGGUCAAGUUCGACUUGAUCCCUAUGAAUUUGGCUAGAGAAUAAACUCGUUAUAUUCUCUACAAACCCUAGCCCCGAGGCUUCUAUAAAUAGACGACUUCAUUCAUCAUUCAAGGUACAUCUAAACUUAUUCCUAAUACCCGAGAAAAAUACCUGAAGCUCUCUCUUCCUCUCCACUCUCCACUCUCCAUAUUUUCUCCACACGGCUCUGGCC